rnacentral:tRNA from 1 species
GCCUUUGUAGCUCAAUUGGAAGAGCGUUUGCCUUGUAAGUAAUAGGUUGUAGGUUCGAAUCCUACUAAAGGCA